UCAGCCACACCGGGACUGAGACACGGCCCGGACUCCUACGGGAGGGCAGCAGUGGGGAAUAUUGGACAAUGGGGGAAACCCUGAUCCAGCCAUGCCGCGUGUGUGAAGAAGGCCUUUUGGUUGUAAAGCACUUUAAGCAGUGAAGAAGACUCUUCGGUUAAUACCCGGAGACGAUGACAUUAGCUGCAGAAUAAGCACCGGCUAACUCUGUGCCAGCAGCCGCGGUAAUACAGAGGGUGCAAGCGUUAAUCGGAAUUACUGGGCGUAAAGCGAGCGUAGGUGGCUUGAUAAGUCAGAUGUGAAAUCCCCGGGCUUAACCUGGGAACUGCAUCUGAUACUGUCAGGCUAGAGUAGGUGAGAGGAAGGUAGAAUUCCAGGUGUAGCGGUGAAAUGCGUAGAGAUCUGGNNAGGAAUACCGAUGGCGAAGGCAGCCUUCUGGCAUCAUACUGACACUGAGGCUCGAAAGCGUGGGUAGCAAACGGGAUUAGAUACCCUGGUAGUCCACGCCGUAAACGAUGUCUACUAUUCCUUGGGUCCCUUGAGGACUUAGUGACGCAGCUAACGCAAUAAGUAGACCGCCUGGGNNGAGUACNGGCCGCANAGGUUAAAACUCAAAUGAAUUGACGGGGGCCCGCACAAGCGGUGGAGCAUGUGGUUUAAUUCGAUGCAACGCGAAGAACCUUACCUGGUCUUGACAUAUCUAGAAUCCUGCAGAGAUGCGGGAGUGCCUUCGGGAAUUAGAAUACAGGUGCUGCAUGGCUGUCGUCAGCUCGUGUCGUGAGAUGUUGGGUUAAGUCCCGCAACGAGCGCAACCCUUGUCCUUAGUUACCAGCGGGUUAAGCCGGGAACUCUAAGGAUACUGCCAGUGACAAACUGGAGGAAGGCGGGGACGACGUCAAGUCAUCAUGGCCCUUACGACCAGGGCUACACACGUGCUACAAUGGUAGGUACAGAGGGCAGCUACACAGCGAUGUGAUGCGAAUCUCAAAAAGCCUAUCGUAGUCCAGAUUGGAGUCUGCAACUCGACUCCAUGAAGUAGGAAUCGCUAGUAAUCGCGGAUCAGAAUGCCGCGGUGAAUACGUUCCCGGGCCUUGUACACACCGCCCGUCACACCAUGGGAGUUGAUUGCACCAGAAGUGGUUAGCCUAACCGUAAGGAAAGCGAUCACCACGGUGUG
rnacentral:rRNA from 1 species